UGGGGAAUUUUGGACAAUGGGCGAAAGCCUGAUCCAGCAAUGCCGCGUGUGUGAAGAAGGCCUUCGGGUUGUAAAGCACUUUUGUCCGGAAAGAAAUCCUUGGCUCUAAUACAGUCGGGGGAUGACGGUACCGGAAGAAUAAGCACCGGCUAACUACGUGCCAGCAGCCGCGGUAAUACGUAGGGUGCAAGCGUUAAUCGGAAUUACUGGGCGUAAAGCGUGCGCAGGCGGUUUGCUAAGACCGAUGUGAAAUCCCCGGGCUCAACCUGGGAACUGCAUUGGUGACUGGCAGGCUAGAGUAUGGCAGAGGGGGGUAGAAUUCCACGUGUAGCAGUGAAAUGCGUAGAGAUGUGGAGGAAUACCGAUGGCGAAGGCAGCCCCCUGGGCCAAUACUGACGCUCAUGCACGAAAGCGUGGGGAGCAAACAGGAUUAGAUACCCUGGUAGUCCACGCCCUAAACGAUGUCAACUAGUUGUUGGGGAUUCAUUUCCUUAGUAACGUAGCUAACGCGUGAAGUUGACCGCCUGGGGAGUACGGUCGCAAGAUUAAAACUC
rnacentral:rRNA from 1 species